rnacentral:rRNA from 1 species
GAUGAACGCUGGCGGCGUGCCUAAUACAUGCAAGUCGAGCGAACGGACGAGAAGCUUGCUUCUCUGAUGUUAGCGGCGGACGGGUGAGUAACACGUGGAUAACCUACCUAUAAGACUGGGAUAACUUCGGGAAACCGGAGCUAAUACCGGAUAAUAUUUUGAACCGCAUGGUUCAAAAGUAAAAGACGGUCUUGCUGUCGCUUAUAGAUGGAUCCGCGCUGCAUUAGCUAGUUGGUAAGGUAACGGCUUACCAAGGCAACGAUGCAUAGCCGACCUGAGAGGGUGAUCGGCCACCCUGGAACUGAGACACGGUCCAGACUCCUACGGGAGGCAGCAGUAGGGAAUCUUCCGCAAUGGGCGAAAGCCUGACGGAGCAACGCCGCGUGAGUGAUGAAGGUCUUCGGAUCGUAAAACUCUGUUAUUAGGGAAGAACAUAUGUGUAAGUAACUGUGCACAUCUUGACGGUACCUAAUCAGAAAGCCACGGCUAACUACGUG